rnacentral:rRNA from 1 species
UACGUAGGGUGCAAGCGUUGUCCGGAAUUAUUGGGCGUAAAGAGCGUGUAGGCGGCCAGAUAAGUCCGCUGUGAAAUCUCGAGGCUCAACUUCGAGCUGUCGGUGGAAACUGUCUGGCUAGAGUCCGGAAGAGGAGAAUGGAAUUCCUGGUGUAGCGGUGAAGUGCGCAGAUAUCAGGAAGAACACCCGUGGCGAAGGCGGUUCUCUGGGCCGUAACUGACGCCUGGAGGAAGCGAAGGC